ensembl:snRNA U4 U4 spliceosomal RNA
AGCUUUGCGCAGUGGCAGUAUCGUAGCCCAUGAGGUUUAUCCGAGGCGCGAUUAUUGCUGGUUGAAAACUUUACCCAAUACCCCGUCAUGACGACUUGAAAUAUAGUCGGCAAUGGCAAUUUUUGACGGUCUCUAAGGAGA